UUGGGGAAUUUUGGACAAUGGGCGCAAGCCUGAUCCAGCAAUGCCGCGUGCAGGAAGAAGGCCUUCGGGUUGUAAACUGCUUUUGUACGGAACGAAACGGUCCGGGUUAAUACCCUGGGCUAAUGACGGUACCGUAAGAAUAAGCACCGGCUAACUACGUGCCAGCAGCCGCGGUAAUACGUAGGGUGCAAGCGUUAAUCGGAAUUACUGGGCGUAAAGCGUGCGCAGGCGGUUUUGUAAGACAGGCGUGAAAUCCCCGGGCUCAACCUGGGAAUUGCGCUUGUGACUGCAAGGCUGGAGUGCGGCAGAGGGGGAUGGAAUUCCGCGUGUAGCAGUGAAAUGCGUAGAUAUGCGGAGGAACACCGAUGGCGAAGGCAAUCCCCUGGGCCUGCACUGACGCUCAUGCACGAAAGCGUGGGGAGCAAACAGGAUUAGAAACCCUAGUAGUCC
rnacentral:rRNA from 1 species